rnacentral:rRNA from 1 species
GACAGAGGUGCCGAGCGUUAGGCGGAAUCACUGGGCUUAAAGCGUGUGUAGGCGGACGUCUAAGUACCUUGUGAAAUCCCACGGCUCACCCGUGGAACUGCUGGGCAUACUGGGCGUCUUGGGCCAACUAGGGGCAGCCGGAACAAGCGGUGGAGCGGUGAAAUGCGUAGAUAUCGCUUGGAACGCCGAAGGUGAAAACAGGCUGCUGGGGUUGUGCCGACGCUGAGACACGAAAGCCAGGGGAGCAAACGGG